CAGUCGCCGCGGUAAGACGAACCGUGCGAACGUUAUUCGGAAUCAUUGGGCUUAAAGCGCGUGUAGGCGGAUGGGAACGUCGGUCGCUGAAAUACCCCGGCUCAACCGGGGAACUGGCAUCGAAACGACCCGUCUCGAGGGGCAUAGGGGGAGCUGGAACUUCCGGUGGAGCGGUGAAAUGCGUUGAGAUCGGAAGGAACGCCCGUGGCGAAAGCGAGCUCCUGGAUGUCUUCUGACGCUGAGACGCGAAAGCUAGGGUAGCGAACGGGAUUAGAUACCCCAGUAGUCCCUGUCUCUUAUA
rnacentral:rRNA from 1 species